ACUUCAUGCAUCUCAGCUGGUCAGAGCGUGGUGGUGCUAACGCCAAGGUUGCAGGUUCGAUCCCUGUAUGGGGAA